UCAGCAUGCUGAUUAAGGUUGCUUGGUUUUUUACUAAACAUUAACUGAAUGAAAACGGGUACUGCUUGUUCUGCUUGGGGGGCUUUAAGGAAGCAAAUGGACUUUCAGAACAGAGAUUGUCAAUAAAGAUGCAAUAGAUGACCUUGACAUCUUCUACAUCUGACCAUGAUCUAAGUACUCCAUAGAGCCUUCAACUUCAACCAUCUUCAUGACCAUUGGAACAAAUUAUUCUCAAGGCUUAGUGGAUAGAAUACAGAACCAGGAAUCAGUCAAAAAACUUGUUAUCUCAUCAGUGAUGCAAAUAGUGUGAUCUUUGGCAGUGAGUGAACUAGUGUCAACACCCCAAGAAACAAAUGUGAGAAAAGGAAAAUUAGUGAAAAUGAAUCUGUGAAGUAGUUUCUUUAUAACAAAACUCAGUCCACCUACCAAAUAGUUCACAAGAAUAUUUGUUUCAAACUAACACAGUUUCUCGUUUUGACCCAGAUUUUUUCCUUUCAAUUUCUUAUUUACUAUACAGGACCUCACCUACAUCUCAUCCAAUUGGGUUUGCAGAACCAACUUUCACAGAUUCACUGGGUCAUAGAACUGUGGAACUAAAAGGGACUUCAGUCAAACAACCAAAAGUCCAGAGUCACAUGGUUAGUGUCAAAGUCUAUUAAUAGGAUCACUACAUCAAGAGAAAGUGAGGAAGACCUCCAAUAUGUUGGAUAGACCCCAUACAGCAAAUUUCUGGAAAGACAUGGACGACAAUUACAUAAGCAGGACCAGGAUCCUCCAACCAGAAUCUUUCUCUGUGUGGGCAUGAGGAAAGAGAUGAAGAAAUACUCUCUGAGUUAGGAAAGAUGAAUGGAUACUGGAUUGAUAGCUCCCUCCCCUCAAAAACCAGAGUUCAGAGACAAACCUGAUACAAGGUCAUUCGAGAACUGAGGAAAACAUGGUUAAAUGACUUGCCAAGGAUAACACAGCUAGUCAACCAAUUGUGAACUCCAGAUGUGGCUUUUGAGAAUGCAUCUGUGGUAAAGCCAGCAUCCUGUGCCAAUGCUGUAUCUUUGAGGCAAUAAUCAAGAGCAACUAAACAUGAGAGAAGAUGAGUGAAUUUCUCAACACUGAGCUGCCUGUCUGGUGUCCAGCCCUUUGAAGAUCUAGUCAAGACUAUUUCUGUGUUAGAACCUUGAGAGAUGUCACAUUAAUUCAAAGAAAAGUCUUUCCUUGUUGAGACACUUGCUUAAUGACAUCUUUAUUCAUGUGAAAAUACAGGAUGAUUUUCUACUAUAUGAUUAUGUUUUUGUUCAUCAGAAAUGUUAUUUUUCUUUACAGAGUCUGGUUUCAACGAACCAGCUAUGUAAUAGAUAUUAAAUAAACAUGGAAUUUUA